UAUGGAUGGAGUCCAGUGUACAGCUUCCGUCAAUGAGCAGACAAUUAAUACAUUAUGGAACGUAAAUAUUAACAUUUUGGCUAUGGCGGAUCAGCUCGUAGAAGCACUGCCUCGGUACGGGGCAAUGCCACAGAAGAUGCACUUAAAUUUGACUGCCGAGAGAACGUAUCUUUUAACGUCUAGGGACAUGAGGGUAAAUCGCCAGGAAAUGUCUACCAGUAAGUCUAAAAGGAUGUUUAUCCGCAGAUCUAGGAGUGCUUUGUCUACAAUCAUCUGUAUGGUAUUUCCGUAAUAUUUGUCUUAUUAAUUCAAGAUGAAAAGUAGCUAUAGAAAUAUCUUUGGGUGUUUUGUGUUUAUAGAAGUAAUAAGAAUUUCAAACAGCAAUAUCUAACUAAUGAAAAAAAUACUUUUUAGGGACCGUCAAGGGUUAAUAUUGUUCAGUUGUUGUUGCGACCGAAAGGGUUAAUAUUGUUCAGUUUUUAGUUUUGUCUUCCAGGUUGUUAGUUUUUUUCUAUUACUCUUGUAUUCGCGAUUUAUUGGUGAUUUAUUCAUGAUAAUUUAAUUAGCUUUAUCAAUCUUUAACGUUAAGUACCAAGUAAAAACAACAUGAUUGAUUAAAAUAAAAAAAAAAUCAUUAAAACUGAUAAUCAUUAAAUUAUAUGCUCUUCAAUGAAAUUAAGGAAUUUUCGGUUAAUUAUACUUGGAAAACAUUUGAAGCAAUUCAGAGCGAUGCGCCUCAGCUUUUUGAUAUUAUUAUAUAAUUUUAAACGUCCUCUUAAUCUCGGGACGAUCGGUAAAGUUUCUUCCAAGGUUAAUCGUUCGCCCGUCAUUAAUCCUCAUGCGUAAGGCUAGAUGUCACAAAUCCAAAUAAUUUAAUUAAAAUAACAACAUACUACUUAGUUAUUUUUAUUAAGGUGUGUCAUAGCCGCUUUAAGAGUCAUGUUACUUUUUAGCUGUACGCAUGCCGGGUUGAGUAUAUAAACGAAUCGCGAAAUACAGAGAUAUUUUUCAAACUUAUUAAACCCUAAAUUUUUUGCUAUCUUACCUACU